AGCAGCCGCGGUAAUUCCAGCUCCAAUAGCGUAUAUUAAAGUUGUUGCAGUUAAAAAGCUCGUAGUUGAAUUUCGAGACCGGUCUACUGGUCGUGCUUUUGUACGUACUGGUUUUAUUGGUUUCUCCUUUCUGACGAACUAUAAUGCCAUUAAUUUGGUGUUAUAGGGAAUCAGGACUGUUACUUUGAAAAAUUAGAGUGUUUAAAGCAGGCUCACGCUUGAAUACAUUAGCAUGGAAUAACGGAAUAGGACGUUUGAUUUUAUUUUGUUGGUUUCUAGGAUCGACGUAAUGAUUAAUAGGGAUAGUUGGGGGCAUUAGUAUUCAAUUGUCAGAGGUGAAAUUCUUGGAUUUAUUGAAGACUAACUACUGCGAAAGCAUUUGCCAAGGAUGUUUUCAUUAAUCAAGAACGAAAGUUAGGGGAUCGAAGACGAUCAGAUACCGUCGUAGUCUUAACCAUAAACUAUGCCGACUAGGGAUCGGAUGAUGUUAAUUUUUAAUGUACUCAU
rnacentral:rRNA from 1 species